UUGAGUCGAUGUUGAUAUUUGCUCGCUUUCAAAAAUACAAAAAAAUAAGAAAAAUCAAAAUUUACAAAAAAAAAGGAAAAGAGAAGGAAAGGAAAAGUUGAGGGACUAGUUUGAAAACCUAGCAAAACUUUUCCUAUAAAUACCAAGCUACACUGAUUUUUUUGAGGGAGGGGGACAAUUUUGAAACAUCAGAAAAAUACAAAAAAAAACCCUAAACCUAAAGCUAAACCUAUCUCUAACAAAGGAGCCCCCCCCCACGGUUUUGGUUCUCCCAAGCCGCCGCUCAUCAUCCUCUUUCUCCCAUUCUCCCUUGACCUCCAGCCAUCCCCAACCGUUCCUUCCCCUCAGCCACAACCUCUCUCCUUCUCCAAGACACCGCAUCUCCAUUUUUCCCCCCAUCUCCACCGACCAGCCUUCCAGAGGCAGCCGACCGACCGGUCAAUCGGCCUUCAGCUAGCCACACGCCACUCAUGUUCCUCUGUGAACACAAAGCCUCUCCCUCACAGAAACCAGCUGCUUAUCUUCCCCCGAUCUCGCCAUCUCCAUCGACAACGAAGCCAGCCGAACGGACGACAGCAGCGCAGCGACCACCACCGACCAGCUCUCCUCUGCACAGACCGGCCAUCAGCAGCUGCACAACCGUCGAAGACAAACCCAUAACAAACCGACCCGCCUGAAACAGAGAAGGGAGGAGGCAGAGUAGCAGAGCAGAUCUGAAAGAGGAAGAAAAGAAGCCGAAGCAGAUUUCAAAAACAAAUGAAAUAAAAACUAAAAUCGACUGUGUUGUGCGUUUUCUGUUAUUGCAGGUAGUGGUGUUCCUCACAGCCGGCAGGGAAGGGAAGAGAAGAAGGAGACGAUCCCGAUCCACCAGCUUGCUGGUCUUCGUCGGCGGCGGCGCGUGGACCCACGCACCGCCGCUGUUCAGACGACACCAAGGCUGUGUAGCACUGUUCCCGAGGAUUUCUUUGUGUUUUUGUUGUAACUUUCAGAUGAUGUGUAUAUUUAGAUAUUAUUGUAUUUGAUUUAUUUUGAAUUUUUGUUAUUUGUUUUACAUGUAAAAAUUGUGUAUGUAAAAAACAAAAAAAAGAAAAGGAAAGGAAAAGAAAAAGAAAAUAUAGUGAAAGUGUAUGGGUGUGUUUGUAUUUGUUUUAUGAAUGUUUUUAUUUUUAUUUAAGAUAAAAUUGUAAAGAUUAAAGAAGAAUUUAAUAUUUUGAUUGGAUCACGGUCAAGAAUUAUUAACUUACAUGUAAGUUGUAUUUCUAAUAUCCGAUGAAAAGACAAUUAUUAAAACUUCUUUAAUACAUCAAAGUCACGAAGCAGCUUACCUCAGGUAGGGUGCGUUAGGGGUGCUAAUACCUUCCCUAACCACAACCAGUCCCUUACCCGCGAAUCUCUGACAAGACCAGUACAUCCGGGUUCCCUAGUAACCCUCAAUUAAAUACUAGGUGACGACUCCAACGAACCAAUCAAAUCAAAACAUAACAACGAAAAAUCGCCAGCCGAUGCCGCGUGGAUUUUUUUGACGUGCGACAGAAUGGCGACUCCAUUGGGGAAGGUACUGUUUCUGACAAUAUUGGACUAAGCUUUGUGUAUUUGAUGUGUUUAAGUUUUUGCAUUUGUCUUGUUUUAUUUUUGUUUUAUCCAUGCAUUUUUAGAAUUGUUUCAUGCAUCACAUGUAUUUAUUUUUGAAAGCACACACAAGCUUCUAGGUUAGGUGGGGAACUAGCGAUCUGCCCUAAGACUAUUGGUCAGGGUUCAGAUGCGUGAAAACCCAACUCAUAUCUGAGUGUCUGCUUGGUAAUGGUGGGUAUAUGUACCUUAACCAUUUCUUGCAACGCCCCUAUACUGUCUUUACGAAGAACGUCACUGGGCAGAUAUGAGACCCUUUUGAGACCAGGUAGAAAACCUACCCAUGAUCACAUAAUGAAUAGAACCUGUCUUUAUGUUGUAUGUGCUAUUUUUAUUUGUAUUAGGGCAAACCCUUCUUGAAGCAUCUUGAACUCAAGACUUAUGGGUGACCCAAUAGCCGUCACUCAGAAAAUUUUCAUUGUAGAGUUUGGGCAAGAAUCAAGAUUCUUGUUUCAUCAUACAAGAGUUACGACCAUAUGUCACCCCUCGAAGGGCGAGUUCAUCAUAUAGUUUACAUGUUCAUACAUUUAUCAUGCAUGUACCGGGUUGAAAGAUAGGUUCUCCCACACAAGCUGUGCUACGCGCGAAUGAAGAAAGAUGAUAGAAGCAAAGAAAGUUGUCGGAGAGAGGCUCAUUGUCAAAAGGAAGUUGAGAGCAUCAGAGGUGAAGUAGCUAGAAUCAGAUCUGCUUGAACAAGUGUAGAGCAUCAAAGGGAAAAGGAAUGUCUACACAGUCUUCUGUGGGAACACUGCUUGUCCAUGUCCCAUUGAAGUUACACCUCCUCUUUUCAGUCAUGAAUAAUUGCAGCAAUGCCUUCAGUCAUCAGCUAAUGACAACCUUUGUUCUUGUUUAGUUGCACUGAUAAUUAUUCAUCGCCUCCGUAUCUGCUAAUGGAACCAAAUAACUACUAGCUUCUGUGCAUGGUACAUUAGCCUUCUUUGAAGUUACCCCAACUAUGAGCUCAAUUCCAGUUCAGCAGAAAAAAAACUGAAAAAAAACCAUGAUUAGACACUGAACUUCUACGUUGCAGAGCUCUCUCUGUAGCGAUUUGUUUGUGGAUCUGCCAGUGGGGAAUGCAAGAGGGGGUGUAGUAGUUUCAUAUGCUUUGAAACUUUCUCUCACCAGUGGCACCAGCAAAACAUUGUAGUAGGCAGAAAAGCCAGACUUGAGCUAGAAAACAGGAGCAAAUAUAGAACUUCACCGUGGCAGAGCUCUCUCUGCAGAAAUAUGUUUGUAGCUCUGCAAGUGGAGAAUCCAAGAAGGGAUGCAGUAGUUUCUGAUCAUCUAUAAUUUUCUCUCAUCAGUGUUAGCUUGAAGAUGCAAAAGUAGGGAAAAGAGACAGACCUCGGCUGAAAAAUAGAAAGAAGAUUGAAACUUCAACAGAGCAGAGCUCCCUCUACAGGUGUUUGUUUGCUGCACUGUCAGUGAGGGAUCGAAGAGGAGACAAAGGAGUUUCAGAUUCAUCAGUUUCUCCUCCAAUAAAAACAAUGCAUCAUUUCACACAUUGACAGUGAUAGCGCUGCAUGAUUCUAUGCGCUGCCAAGAUUACCUAGCUGUUGGAAGGUUUCCAACAAUCCACAAACGACCACAACAACAUGGGAAGAUUGACAUGAUGUUGUGAAGAUUGUCAAAAGAAUUGAACGAGCCAUGAAGAAGUGAAAGAUUGAAGGUUCUGCCAUGAAUUCCAGAACAAUAAAGAGAGAUGAAUAAGAAGAUAACUCUGAAGGUGGAAAACCUUAUUCAUGUGGUUUAGCCAGGUCUCGCUGUAACAUCAACUGCUCCAAUGUCUUUGCAAAAGAUAGACAUUCCUUUGCCAUGUGGGUUUAUUUACUAGCAUCUGCCAGAUUCCAGACUUAGUGCCUGACUCCGACAAAACCCAUGCAACCACUGUUUUCUAGGUGGUUCAAUCUAGACAAGAGAUGUGUUGUCAUGGUGGGGUCUUCAGCCAUUUCAAUUGAAUAGUUGCAAGAAUUUCAAGAAGCGAGUCCAGAAGUUGGUGAGCAGGAGACGAGUGGAGUUUGCGAAGGAGGGUGUCAUUGGCUAUAUUGUCCCCGAACAUCUUCAAGAAUGACAUGUGAUCGAAAUUGCUCGGUGAAACACAAAUAUUGCUAGAAUAGUUGAUCCAAGAAGGGCGUUGAACUGUCAAUCAUGUUAUGGAAUUUUUGUCAUUCUGCAUUUUGUUUCGGGAUCACAUCCCACCCUUCAACGAAACAUGUCUUUUCGUUGUCUCUUUGUUGUUAUGAAAUCAUGAGAUGCUUCUUUCAAAGGGUAUUUUGACAGAAUAUAUUUGAUCAAACUCCAACAUGCAAAGUUUAAUCAUGAACAUUAAAAGUGUUUUGAUUGCAGAAAUGACUUGAUGCUUGAAAAUGACAUGAGGUGACCAAACAAUUUUGAACUCAUACCUCCUGAAACUGAACCACAUAUCAUAUAGCUAGUUUUAGCAGUAUGCAUAAUGACAUGUAGUGGAUUCAAUAGUUAUGGACUCGUGAAUCAUGAUUCUUACAAGUCCAAAUCAUUACACUGGACGAGGUCAAAAUUUAUCGGUUCUAACCGACCUUGCUUGAAAUGAGAAAAGGCCAUCUUUGAUAUCCCUUCACUUUCUAAAGAUUAUAUCCCUUGCAGUCCCAUUUUGAUCCUGGUAAAAUAUUUUCUUUCAAAAAGAAACCUUGACUAGAAUCACACUCCACACUGGGGGCAAUGAGAGAUAUGUUAUUAGGAAGGAUGAAGACACUGAUAGAAUCAAUGAUAAAAGAAAGGCUUAGAAUAAAAGCCCAAUGAUUGAGAAAGGGAGAACAAGAAAAGCCAUAGAUUGAGGGUCAUCCAAGAAAACUUUGAGGAAGGUUAUGUAAAAAAAAAAAGUGGAAAUAAAGGAGAAUGCCUAUCAAUUCUAAGAGGGGCAAAAAAGGUUUCAAUGGAAGAAAGACACAACAAAUGCCAAAAGUCAACACCAAAAAAAUCAAGUUUCAUGUCUUUUGGUGUGUCUAGGAUAAAGCCUUUAGUGUCUUCAAAAUUUUUUAGAUUCAUUAUUCAUCAGAGAAAAAGUUGGAUUAGCAUUAUGACUUAUGCUAAGAGAAUUCUGAUCUUUGAGAUUUACAAGGUCAUAUGUCACUUUCUCUACAAUGACCACAAGAGAAAGAGAGUUGAUGAAUAGUUGAUAUUGAUCCUAGGUCUUUGAAACCCUUAAACACCUUUUGAGCAUGAAUUUUCCUUUCUUUCAUAAGCCAUGAACCAUAGCCUGCAUUACGUGCUGUAAAAAGCCCUUUUUAAUCAAGUAAGCAAUUUGAACCGAUAAAUGGCGCUCUCGAAACUUGAAGAGCUUUUCCAUAAGGGUCGUGACUUCAUGAAUUAAGCUAUUGGUUAUUAUGCAUGCUGAUAAAAUAAAAGCUCAAAAAGAAACAACCUCUCUUGAUAAAGCCUGAGAUUUGACUUGAGUCUUGUUUUUGAAAUUCACAUAAAGGUCACCUCAUCACAAACCAUCAAAAGAUAUACCCCAAAAUCAAAGUCUAAAAUGGAUACAAAGAACCAUGAAAAAAAAAGCCAUUUGUCUUACAACGGGUCAAUUUCUGUUUUCAAAAUACAUGACAAUCAAAGGACCGUAUAUUUCGAAUAAUGUGUGUUGGAUCUUUGAAAAAAAAAAAGCUUGAUUUUCAAAAGGUCUUUUCAAAAAAGGACAUCUUUGAUUUCAUUUCAACAAACUAGACUUUCAAUAGACAUGAUCUUUGAAGUAUGAGAGUUGAUUCCAGAACAGAAAGAUUGUCAAACAAGAAGAAUAUCGAUCGAGUUUGCAAAAUCCUUGACAAGAAUGACAUCAACACUUCUUGACACUCCUUGAAAAUUUGACCACUUGGGGGCAAUACAGUGGACCCUGAGAAGAAAAACAAGCAGUAUUUAGAUCAGCUGGGGGCAAUGAAAGAUGAUUAAAUGAUGAGUCAGUGUACUGAAAACAAUGGUGUUCAAAGAAAGAUAAUCAAUGAACGAGCACAUUCAGAUCAUAUUGGGGGCAAUGUUGUUCAAAGACAGUUAGUGAUUUAGUGAACUUCAACAGCAAUUGAUGAGCAAUGCUGCACUUGAAGGGCAUUUUAUUAUCGUCAGCUUGGGUUACCCUCUAAAACAUGGUUAUGACUCCUGACAUAUGUUAUCAGGUGAGUGCAUUUGAAUGAACAUCAAACAUAUGCAUACCACCAAGACUGACUGUGGGACCAUCUAUUCUGAAGCUCAAAUGCGCACUUCACCGUAUGAAUAUGGGUGAUGAACAUCAUUGAUGAUGCCAACACAUUUCCUUUCAUGAUCUGAUUUGACAAGCUGAGAGGAAUCCAUGGAGAAGAACAUUGAGCUUAUUACAACGAUGAGCCUUUUACUGCAAGGUAUGAGAUCCAUAUCUGGAUGACCUGACAGUUCCAAGAAGGCUGGUGAUAACAUAUACUUGAAGAGUAUUGUUUCAAUUGGAGGCAAGUUCAUGACUGGUUGACCAUCUUGAUGGUUGUUGGCAUGAUGCACACAACCAAUCAGAAAAUAAUUUUCAGAAGAAUCCAGGAGAGAAAAUCCUUCAUGAUGAAUCAAGCAACACCACACUUGGGGGCAGAGUCAAGCUUGAUAAACAACAAGAGCAAUAAUCGUCGUAGACAGCCCGAGAUGGGCACUGCACUUACAUUUGAGUGGAAGGCUAGCAUACAAAUGAGCCAGUACAUGGGAAGAGCAAAGAAGGUUUUGGUUAGCAGACAAAGGCACCCUAUGAUGAUGGAUCAUCCAAGGGGGGGCCUAUAUUUCACAUCAGGUAAGGAUGCAUGCAUGUCAUCUAACCUCAAAGCAUUGCACAUACUUGUGAUUUGUUACAGAAAGAUCCUCAAUGAAGUCCAGCAAGAUUGUGGACAAAGAAAGAAUCAUUGAGUUGAUAAUAACAGAGAAUCAUGGUUGUGACCUUGAAACGGGAAGAAGAUGAGAUAAACCUUACUGUUAGGAAAAUCUCAAAUAAAUGAAAAGAUCAACCUUGCAAUCAGGNNNNNNNNNNNNNNNNNNNNNNNNNNNNNNNNNNNNNNNNNNNNNNNNNNNNNNNNNNNNNNNNNNNNNNNNNNNNNNNNNNNNNNNNNNNNNNNNNNNNNNNNNNNNNNNNNNNNNNNNNNNNNNNNNNNNNNNNNNNNNNNNNNNNNNNNNNNNNNNNNNNNNNNNNNNNNNNNNNNNNNNNNNNNNNNNNNNNNNNNNNNNNNNNNNNNNNNNNNNNNNNNNUUUUUUCUAUCCUCCCACUUGGGUAGGUCACCCAUAACAAUGAGACCACUUCAUAUUUUUUCUAUCUUCCAUCUGGGUAGGUCACCCAUUAUAAUGAGACCGCACAUCACAUUUUUUCCAUCUGGGUAGGUCACCCAUAACAAUGAGACCACUUCAUAUUUUUUGUAUCUUCCAUCUGGGUAGGUCACCCAUUAUAAUGAGACCGCACAUCACAUUUUUUUCCAUCUGGGUAGGUCACCCAUAACAAUGAGACCACUUCAUAUUUUUUCUAUCUUCCAUCUGGGUAGGUCACCCAUUAUAAUGAGGCCACACUUCACAUUCUUUCCAUUUGGGUAGGUCACCUAUCAUAAUGAGACCGCUUUCCACAUUCUUUCCACCUGGGUAGGUCACUCAUUACAAUGAGACCAUUUGUUCCACAUAUUCUUUGUUUUGGUUUAAUGAGGUCGCCAGAUGGGAUCUCAUGUAGCUUUGGUUAAAGGGAAUCGCCAGAUGGGAUUUCAGGUUGACCGAGCUACCACACAUUUUUUAGUUCUAGUUGAAUGAGGUUGCCAGAUGGAAUCUCAUGUAGCUUUGGUUAAAGGGAAUCGCCAGAUGGGAUUUUAGGUUGACCGAGCUACACACAUUUUUUAGUUCCACUUUAAUGAGGUCGCCAGAUGGGAUCUCAUGUUGGUUCUGGUUAAAGGGGAUCGCCGGAUGGGAUCUCAGGUUAGCCCAACCACACAGAUUUUGGUUCUGGUUAAAGGGGAUCGCCGGACGGGAUCUCAGGUUAGCCCAACCACAAACAGGAUAUUGGUUCUGGUUAAAGGGGAUCGCCGGACGGGAUCUCAGAUUAGCCCAACCACACACAGAUUUUGGUUCUGGUUAAAGGGGAUCGCCGGACGGGAUCUCAGGUUAGCCCAACCACACACAGGAUAUUGGUUCUGGUUAAAGGGAAUCGCCGGACGGGAUCUCAGGUUAGCCCAACCACACACAGAUUUUGGUUCUGGUUAAAGGGGAUCGCCGGACGGGAUCUCAGGUUAGCCCAACCACACAUGAUAUUGGUUCUGGUUAAAGGGGAUCGCCGGACGGGAUCUCAGGUUAGCCCAACCACACACAGGAUAUUGGUUCUGGUUAAAGGGGAUCGUCGGACGGGAUCUCAGGUUAGCCCAACCACACAGGAUAUUGGUUCUGGUUAAAAGGGAUCGUCGGACGAGAUCUCAGGUUAGCCCAACCACGCAGAUUUUGGUUUUGGUUCAAGGAGAUCGCCUGAUGGGAUCUCACAAAAAAAAAAGGAAAGAAAAAUGAAAAAGAGAGAAAGAAAGAAGAAGAGAGAAAGAAGGAAAGGAGAAGGAAAAAAAGAAAGAAACAUUUAGAGUUUUUCUUUACAAAGCUUACUAUGCGAAACAUUGGGGAGUUUUGCUUCGUAAGCAUUGUAAAGAGGGGGCAUCUGUUGCUACCCAAUUUUUGACCCAUGUUUUGAUAAAUUUUCAGAAAAAUCCAAAAAUAGCGAAAAAACAUUGAAAAUCCAAAAAAUACAUUUUUUAUACAUUUGUAUCGUUUUUAGCAUUUUUAGCAUCGUCUCAAAAGAAUUUAAAUUUUCAAAGACAUUUGGAACGUGUUCAACUUUUCACGCGUCAUUUUUAAAAUCAUUUAUUUUCCGCAUUGAGUCGAUGUUGAUAUUUGCUCGCUUUCAAAAAUACAAAAAAAUAAGAAAAAUCAAAAUUUACAAAAAAAGAGGAAAAGAGAAGGAAAGGAAAAGUUGAGGGACUAGUUUGAAAACCUAGCAAAACUUUUCCUAUAAAUACCAAGCUACACUGAUUUUUUUGAGGGAGGGGGGCAAUUUUGAAACAUCAGAAAAAUACAAAAAAAAACCCUAAACCUAAAGCUAAACCUAUCUCUAACAAAGGAGCCCCCCCCCCACGGUUUUGGUUCUCCCAAGCCGCCGCUCAUCAUCCUCUUUCUCCCAUUCUCCCUUGACCUCCAGCCAUCCCCAACCGUUCCUUCCCCUCAGCCACAGCCUCUCUCCUUCUCCAAGACACCGCAUCUCCAUUUUUCCCCCCAUCUCCACCGACCAGCCUUCCAGAGGCAACCGACCGACCGGUCAAUCGGCCUUCAGCUGGCCACACGCCACUCAUGUUCCUCUGUGAACACAAAGCCUCUCCCUCACAGAAACCAGCUGCUUAUCUUCCCCCGAUCUCGCCAUCUCCAUCGACAACGAAGCCAGCCGAACGGACGACAGCAGCGCAACGACCACCACCGACCAGCUCUCCUCUGCACAGACCGGCCAUCAGCA
rnacentral:lncRNA from 1 species